CGUGAAUUCAAGGGGUGCUGCACGUCUAGCUAGGGAAACCUGCAGUGUGCGGCUGAGACUUUACCCUCAUUAGCGGAUCAGGAUAAUGCCUGCGUCGCGAUGAAUGCCACGAUUUUU
rnacentral:ncRNA from 2 species